UGGGGAAUCUUGGACAAUGGGGGAAACCCUGAUCCAGCCAUCCCGCGUGUGCGAUGAAGGCCUUCGGGUUGUAAAGCACUUUUGGCAGGAAAGAAACGUCGCGGGUUAAUACCCCGCGAAACUGACGGUACCUGCAGAAUAAGCACCGGCUAACUACGUGCCAGCAGCCGCGGUAAUACGUAGGGUGCAAGCGUUAAUCGGAAUUACUGGGCGUAAAGCGUGCGCAGGCGGUUCGGAAAGAAAGAUGUGAAAUCCCAGAGCUUAACUUUGGAACUGCAUUUUUAACUACCGGGCUAGAGUGUGUCAGAGGGAGGUGGAAUUCCGCGUGUAGCAGUGAAAUGCGUAGAUAUGCGGAGGAACACCGAUGGCGAAGGCAGCCUCCUGGGAUAACACUGACGCUCAUGCACGAAAGCGUGGGGAGCAAACAGGAUUAGAUACCCUGGUAGUCCACGCCCUAAACGAUGUCAACUAGCUGUUGGGGCCUUCGGGCCUUGGUAGCGCAGCUAACGCGUGAAGUUGACCGCCUGGGGAGUACGGUCGCAAGAUUAAAACUUAAAGGAAUUGAC
rnacentral:rRNA from 1 species